rnacentral:rRNA from 1 species
CAUGUAGGCGGGCCUUUAAGUCCGACGUGAAAAUGCGGGGCUCAACCCCGUAUGGCGUUGGAUACUGGAGGUCUUGAGUGCAGGAGAGGAAAGGGGAAUUCCCAGUGUAGCGGUGAAAUGCGUAGAUAUUGGGAGGAACACCAGUGGCGAAGGCGCCUUUCUGGACUGUGUCUGACGCUCAGAUGCGAAAGCUAGGGUAGCAAACG